GAAUAUGAAGCGAUUUAUUGCAAUUAGUUUCGACCUAAUAUUAGAUUUUUAUCCUUAUUCU
rnacentral:tRNA from 1 species